ensembl:lncRNA
AUGCAUGGACGCAGCUCUGGCCCCGUUGCGGCUCCAGGGCGUUCGUGUGUUGAAUUACUUGGACGAUUGGCUGGUGCUAGCUCAAUCACAGACUCAAGCACUCUCUCACCGAGAUUUAGUGCUGAAUCAUUUAAGAAGCCUGGGCUUAUGCACGAAUUUCCAGAAGAGUGUUUUAAUCCCCUCUCAACGGAUAACCUUUCUGGGAAUAGAUUUGGACUCUCGCGCGAUGACAGCCAGACUAUCUCUCCCGCGCGUUCAGUCUCUCACGUCAUGCGUGCGUCACUUCAAAGUAGGCCGCACAGUGACGGUGAGUUUGUGUCUCAGGCUGUUAGGUCUGAUGGCAGCGGCAUCCCCUGUAAUUCGUCUGGGCUUACUUCACAUGCGCCCUUUUCAGUGGUGGACGAAAAAGUCAGAACAUUUCACCCCGUUGUUUUUCCGCAUCGUACGAUUUCGGUGACACGGAGGUGUGUUAUGUCAAUAAAAACAGUGGAUGUCAACCGAGUUCCUUCUAGCCGGAGUUCGGCUGGGGAUUUGUGCUUCCCGAGAGACUGUCACGACGGACGCGUCUUUGACCGGUUGGGGAGCUGUUUGUCAAGGGCGCCCAGCUCAUGGAGUGUGGACAGCGACACAACGCGGUUGGCACAUAAACAGGUUGGAACUACUGGCAGUUUUUUUCUAGCUCUCCAGUAUUUCUCAAAUCUGCUGACCGGCCGUCAUGUACUACUCAGGUCAGACAACAUGGCGGUUGUGUCAUACCUGAAUCAUCAAGGAGGGUUACGCUCUCGCCCCCUGUGCAGGCUGGCGAGGAGUAUUCUUCUUUGGUCUCGGAACAGAUUUCUAUCGAUCCGAGCAGUUCAUGUCCCCGGACGUUUGAACGUCGGAGCGGAUCUGCUAUCCAGACAGACUCUGGAGCAGGGGGAAUGGAGAUUACACCCACAGACGGUGAGCCUUUUAUGGCAGAUAUUCGGAGAGGCGAGAGUGGACUUAUUCGCGUCGAGCACGACUACGCAUUGCCCGCUGUGGUUCUCCCUAUGCCCUCCAUCGCCCCUAGGCCUGGAUGCGUUAGCUCACGAUUGGCCCAGGACCAGCUUGUAUGCUUUUCCUCCAAUUCGUUUAAUUCCAGCGGUGUUGUCCAGGAUACGGCUGGACAGAGUGGAGCAGCUGCUGCUGGUGGCUCCGUGGUGGCCCACACAGCCGUGGUUUGCGGAACUGGUCAGUCUAAUAGUGGGCUCUCCAUGGGAGAUUCCCCUCAGACAGGACUUACUAUCGCAAGCACGAGGGAUGAUUUGGCACCCGAGGCCAGAUCUGUGGAAACUGUGGGCGUGGCCUCUGAGCGGAGUGAGUUAA